AAUUUGUUACGUUAUUAAGUUUGUAUAAAGUUUCCCUCCAAAAUGUGUUUGUUGGGCCGCAGGACUGUGACGGUGAUCGUGUGCAUCAUACCUGGUGCUGAGUGUGUUCCACUGUUUUAUAGGUAUCGACUCCUGUGGCGCAGGGGUAAAGCACAACCCACAUGACGGUCUCGAUCCUCGAUUCGGACGUCAAAGGUUCAAGUCCUGGCUAGAAGACCUUUGCUGAAUGUCUUCCGCCUCUUUCGCUAUCUACUUUCCUGUCUAACCAUGCUCAAAUAAAGGCUGCCUGAGCCAAAAAAAAAAAUUUUAAAAGAAGUGUGAACUGAGGACACUGACAGUAUUGUUGGGGGCAUCUGUGCUUGCUGCAACAUGUUUUGAAUUGAAAGGAUAUUUUAGGCUUUAAUAGCUUCACUGAUAGACCAACUCCUUUUUGCCCGAUGUAAACAGAAAACUCUUUACCAGCAUCCCAUCAGAUUAUUUUUUGAAGGUUCCAUCCAGCAUUUUUAUAUGUAAUAAAAAUGGGAUUCACUGUGUAAAACUUUUAAUGGGCUAAUAUCUAGUAUGUAAUUAAUUAAUUAAUUAAUUAAAAUAAAUGCAGUAAACUCC